UGGCUAUUAUGAAUAAGGGUGCUAUGAAU
rnacentral:piRNA from 1 species